rnacentral:rRNA from 1 species
UACGGGGGGGGGCAAGCGUUGUUCGGAAUUACUGGGCGUAAAGGGCUCGUAGGCGGCCAACUAAGUCGGAUGUGAAAUCCCCAGGCUCAACCUGGGAACUGCAUCCGAUACUGGAUGGCUUGAAUUCGGGAGAGGGAUGCAGAAUUCCAGGUGUAGCGGUGAAAUGCGCAGAUAUCAGGAGGAACACCGGUGGCGAAGGCGGGUCUCUGGGCCGAUACUGACGCUGAGGAGCGAAAGCGUGGGGAGCGAACAGG